GGCGAGGUAGCUCAGAUGGUAGAGCAAUGAUAUGAAUACGCAGAUCAUGUUAGUGAUCUCAACAGCAAUCUCAUUCCAAUCCAGGCAUGUGUCGGCGGUUCGAUUCCGCCCCUCGUCU
rnacentral:tRNA from 1 species